GGGGGCGAAUAGCUUAGACAUGAGUCAGUAUCGUCCGAGUUGCAGGUCAUGGUUGACCAGGCCAUGUAAAAAAUGGUCAAAAAAACAAAAGCCAACUCUAAUGAGAUGGCCUGGGCGCACGCUUAAGUUGCGCCUCGCUGCCAUUCCCUUUUCUGCGGGGAAUGGAUUAGCGUCAUAAGCAGAAUGCUGAUUGAUUGUGUUUUUCCGCGCAAUUAAUCAAAAGACCAAGCGGAGAUAGAGCGGUUUUUGCCUGCCCUGAGCUUAUAAACUGCUUGAAAUUUAAAUCGGGACUAAACCUGUAGUGGCUCUGCCGAACGGCUUAUGGACCCGGGUGCGAAUCCCGGCGCCUCCAUUA
rnacentral:tmRNA from 1 species